rnacentral:rRNA from 1 species
AUGGGAGCUUGCUCCCUGAUGUUAGCGGCGGACGGGUGAGUAACACGUGGGUAACCUGCCUGUAAGACUGGGAUAACUCCGGGAAACCGGGGCUAAUACCGGAUGGUUGUCUGAACCGCAUGGUUCAGACAUAAAAGGUGGCUUCGGCUACCACUUACAGAUGGACCCGCGGCGCAUUAGCUAGUUGGUGAGGUAACGGCUCACCAAGGCGACGAUGCGUAGCCGACCUGAGAGGGUGAUCGGCCACACUGGGACUGAGACACGGCCCAGACUCCUACGGGAGGCAGCAGUAGGGAAUCUUCCGCAAUGGACGAAAGUCUGACGGAGCAACGCCGCGUGAGUGAUGAAGGUUUUCGGAUCGUAAAGCUCUGUUGUUAGGGAAGAACAAGUGCCGUUCAAAUAGGGCGGCACCUUGACGGUACCUAACCAGAAAGCCACGGCUAACUACGUGCCAGCAGCCGCGGUAAUACGUAGGUGGCAAGCGUUGUCCGGAAUUAUUGGGCGUAAAGGGCUCGCAGGCGGUUUCUUAAGUCUGAUGUGAAAGCCCCCGGCUCAACCGGGGAGGGUCAUUGGAAACUGGGGAACUUGAGUGCAGAAGAGGAGAGUGGAAUUCCACGUGUAGCGGUGAAAUGCGUAGAGAUGUGGAGGAACACCAGUGGCGAAGGCGACUCUCUGGUCUGUAACUGACGCUGAGGAGCGAAAGCGUGGGGAGCGAACAGGAUUAGAUACCCUGGUAGUCCACGCCGUAAACGAUGAGUGCUAAGUGUUA